rnacentral:rRNA from 1 species
UACGUAGGGGGCAAGCGUUGUCCGGAUUCAUUGGGCGUAAAGAGCGUGUAGGCGGCCAGGUAGGUCGGUUGUGAAAACUGGAGGCUCAACCUUCAGAGGUCGACCGAAACCAUCUGGCUAGAGUCCGGGAGAGGAGAGUGGAAUUCCUGGUGUAGCGGUGAAAUGCGCAGAUAUCAGGAGGAACACCGGUGGCGAAGGCGGUUCUCUGGGCAUGAUCUGACGCUGAGGAGCGAAAGUGUGGGGAGCGAACAGG